rnacentral:rRNA from 1 species
CAGGGAUUGCCCUAGUAACGGCGAGUGAAGCGGCAACAGCUCAAAUUUGAAAUCUGGCUUCGGCCCGAGUUGUAAUUUGUAGAGGAAGCUUUAGGCGCGGCACCUUCUGAGUCCCCUGGAACGGGGCGCCAAAGAGGGUGAGAGCCCCGUAUAGUUGGAUGCCUAGCCUGUGUAAAGCUCCUUCGACGAGUCGAGUAGUUUGGGAAUGCUGCUCAAAAUGGGAGGUAAAUUUCUUCUAAAGCUAAAUACCGGCCAGAGACCGAUAGCGCACAAGUAGAGUGAUCGAAAGAUGAAAAGCACUUUGAAAAGAGGGUUAAAUAGCACGUGAAAUUGUUGAAAGGGAAGCGCUUGUGACCAGACUUGCGCCGGGCGGAUCAUCCGGUGUUCUCACCGGUGCACUCCGCCCGGCUCAGGCCAGCAUCGGUUCUCGUGGGGGGAUAAAGGCCCUGGGAACGUAGCUCCUCCGGGAGUGUUAUAGCCCAGGGUGUAAUGCCCUCGCGGGGACCGAGGUUCGCGCAUCUGCAAGGAUGCUGGCGUAAUGGUCAUCAGCGACCCGUCUUGAAACACGGACCAAGGAGUCAAGGUUUUGCGCGAGUGUUUGGGUGUUAAACCCGCACGCGUAAUGAAAGUGAACGUAGGUGAGAGCUUCGGCGCAUCAUCGACCGAUCCUGAUGUAUUCGGAUGGAUUUGAGUAAGAGCGUUAAGCCUUGGACCCGAAAGAUGGUGAACUAUGCUUGGAUAGGGUGAAGCCAGAGGAAACUCUGGUGGAGGCUCGCAGCGGUUCUGACGUGCAAAUCGAUCGUCAAAUCUGAGCAUGGGG